rnacentral:lncRNA from 1 species
UGAAGGCCAUGGAUCAUAAGGAAAUCAGAGUUAGAGGGAUAUUUGAAAGUUAAUCCGUAAUUUAAUUCUCCAGAGGACUUCUCAAUCAUCAGGAGAAUUCAGGAAAAGAAAAAGAAAUAAAUCUGAAACAAUGCAGAGAAGUUGGAUUCCAGUGAGUUAACACAAAAGUUGGUAUCUUGGACUACAAAUGAAAAGAUACUCACAUCUUUUGGAAGCUGACAAUGCACAGUAAAGCUCUGAAUUGUUUGGAUUUUUGGAAUCAAACUGUCUUGGCCUCAUAUCCUGCCAUCUCUUCUUCCAGCUCUGUAG